AUCCAGCUGACGAGUCACAAAUAGGACGAAACGUGCUUCCUGGAU
rnacentral:hammerhead_ribozyme from 1 species